UACAGAGGUCCCAAGCGUUGUUCGGAUUCACUGGGCGUAAAGGGUGCGUAGGCGGUUGGGUAAGUCUGUCGUGAAAUCUCCGAGCUUAACUCGGAAACUGCGUCGGAUACUAUUCAACUCGAGGAAUGGAGGGGAGACUGGAAUUCUCGGUGUAGCAGUGAAAUGCGUAGAUAUCGAGAGGAACACCAGUGGCGAAGGCGAGUCUCUGGACAUUUCCUGACGCUGAGGCACGAAAGCCAGGGGAGCAAACGGG
rnacentral:rRNA from 1 species